rnacentral:rRNA from 1 species
GUUGUUCUAGUUUUGUAACUAAAAUGGUUUGGCAGUGAGCGAUUCUUAUUAGGGGAAUAUGCAUAGUGAAGGAUGGUCCACCUAUUAGUUUACUCUUUUUAUGUUGGUGUAUGUCUGGUUUGAUAUUAUUGUUGAAUAAUUUAAGUUUGUGUAGUUUUAGUUAAGCUAAGUCUAUGUGCUGCUUAUUGGAGUUUUUGUGUGUUACAUUAAUAAGGGUGUUAUUGUAAGAUGAUGUGAUUUAGGGAC